UACAGAGGGGGCAAGCGUUGUUCGGAAUUACUGGGCGUAAAGGGCGCGUAGGCGGUCAGCACAAGUCAGUUGUGAAAUCUCCGGGCUUAACUCGGAAAGGUCAACUGAUACUGUGCGACUAGAGUGCAGAAGGGGCAACUGGAAUUCUCGGUGUAGCGGUGAAAUGCGUAGAUAUCGAGAGGAACACCUGCGGCGAAGGCGGGUUGCUGGGCUGACACUGACGCUGAGUGCGCGAAAGCCAGGGGAGCAAACGGG
rnacentral:rRNA from 1 species